UAAAAAAAUAACAUCAAAAUGAGAUAGUUGGAGCCUUAUAUCGUGCUGUGAAUUUGUUAGCUAGAUGAAAGGUCAAUUUACUCGAGUCCAAAAAUAAAAACGACGUCACUGGACUUGUACCGCCACGGACAAGGAACAGUGUGUGUUAAAAAUAAUGUCAGCGUGCCAUCCCAAACGCCCGUGACGUCAAAGGAGCACGCCUUUCGAUAGGCGUGAACGCGAAGGCUGCGCGUCGCCCGGGACGUCACGGUGUGUAGCCGGAAGUCGCAGAUGCUGCCCCUGUUGUCAGGGAACAUCAAAGCGCCGUGCAUCCUCGAGCCUUUCCCUGCCGGUUCGGCGUGUUCAUUAAACGGCUGUUGGAGAGAUCAGCAGGCAAAACGAGCGAUUCAGACAUGUCAAACAUGGAAAAGCACCUUUUCAACCUCAAGUUUGCGGCCAAAGAGCUGGACUGCAAUGCAAAGAAAUGUUACAAAGAGGAGAAGGCUGAAAAAGCUAAAGUGAAAAAGCUAUAGAGAAAGGGAACAUGGAGGUGAACAUACAUGCUUAAAAUGCAAUCCAACAGAAGAAUCAAUCCAUCAACUUUCUUUGCAGAAGCACUUGAGUGGAUGCAGUGGCUGCUUGGGUCCAAACUGCUGUUACCCCAAAUAAGGUCACCAUGGAAGGUGUGGUUAAGUCUAUGGAUGCUAAAAAGAGCAUGAACUUACAAAUGGUUGCUUUGCUUUUACUACCUUCACCUUUAGCUGCAGUUACAGUUACAGUCCUUUCAGAUUUUGUACAGAACAGAAUCUGAGCAGAAGGUAUGGCUCUGUACACUACUGUAUACUUGUACUACUAAUCGUCCUGCUGCUUCUGUUAGUAGUCACAUCAUUAUCUUUUUUGGAAGGCAUUUUCCUUCAAAUGGACCCUGUGGCACAGCAUUAUGGACAGUUCAAAAAGAGUUUCAGAGGAAGCUCGUUUGCCCACAAAAUGUCAGAUGCGAGGACGUUGUGUGACGUAAGUGAAAAUUGGCAGAUGACCACAUUGGAAAGAAGAUGUGAAAUCAAUAUUAAAAAAAAAAAUGGUUAAUUGCAAAAAUUGAUAGCAAAUAAAAAAUAUAUAGAAAUCAACCUAUAUUUAUCUUUACUAGUUUUUUAAAAUCAAUAUUACAUUAUGAAACCUAUUUAUAUUUAUUUCUAUUUUAUUAAUUUAUUGCUUAAAAACAGAUAAUUUUGUUUCAUUAUUUCAAGUAUUUAUUUCUGGCAAGAAGCUAAAGAAUCUGCCACUAAAAUAGAACAACUCCACAAAGAAAUGUAUAAUGAUUAAAUAUGUCUAAAUAUAUAUGGCCAUAUAUUAGAGAUAAUUAGAAAAUCUGAAUUAGACAAUAACCUAUUUUGUAUUCAAAAUAUGUUUAGCAAACUUGCUAAACAUGCAUUUUUUUAAUGCAUGCUGGUAAUUUUCUGUUUUUACUUGUUUAAUGUAUAAUUUGUAUGUAGGUCUAUACAGAAUAAAGUGCAGUCUUUAAUGCAGGAGAUGGAAGAUGAAGCUGGGGUUGCUCUGAACAUGGAGCUGCCUUUAGGACAGACUGGUUCUGUUGGCACCAGUUUAACUUUAGCAUGCACAAG